rnacentral:rRNA from 1 species
GCAGAACGCGAAGAACCUUACCUAGGCUUGACAUACUGGUAGUAGGGAGAUGAAAGUCGAACGACCUUCGGGAGCCAGUACAGGUGCUGCAUGGCUGUCGUCAGCUCGUGCCGUGAGGUGUUCGGUUAAGUCCGAAAACGAGCGCAACCCUCGGCGGUAGUUACAAGUGUCUACCGCGACUGCCUGGGGAAACCAGGAGGAAGGUGGGGAUGAUGUCAAGUCAGUAUUUCCCUUACGUCUGGGGCUACAAACACGCUACAAUGGCCGGUACAAAGGGCAGCCAAGUCGCGAGACGGAGCAAAUCCCAUCAAAGCCGGUCUCAGUUCGGAUAGCAGGCUGAAACUCGCCUGCUUGAAGCUGGAAUCGCUAGUAACGGUAGGUCAGCACACUACCGUGAAUACGUUCCCGGGUCUUGUACACACCG